rnacentral:rRNA from 1 species
UGGGGAAUAUUGGGCAGUGGGCGCAAGCCUGACCCAGCAACGCCGCGUGAAGGAAGAAGGCUUUCGGGUUGUAAACUUCUUUUGUCAGGGACGAGCAGAAGACGGUACCUGACGAAUAAGCCACGGCUAACUACGUGCCAGCAGCCGCGGUAAUACGUAGGUGGCAAGCGUUGUCCGGAAUUACUGGGUGUAAAGGGAGCGUAGGCGGGAAGACAAGUUGAAUGUGAAAUGCAGAGGCUCAACCUCUGAACUGCGUUCAAAACUGCCAUUCUUGAGUGAAGUAGAGGUAAGCGGAAUUCCUAGUGUAGCGGUGAAAUGCGUAAAUAUUAGGAGGAACACCAGUGGCGAAGGCGGCUUACUGGGCUUUAACUGACGCUGAGGCUCGAAAGCGUGGGUAGCAAACAGGAUUAGAUACCCUGGUAGU